CGGAGCUGAGUUUGCCUUCCAAUGUCUUGGAACAGAGGUUCAUGGGAAGUUUUCUCAGCUAUCUAAGGCACGGAGCCCUGGAGCCAAGUCAGCCUGAGCUGCUGCGUGCUUGCUGUGAGCCUUGAGGGCAGGACAGCGUUCAGACUGAAAGUGUAAGAAGAUGUGGAGUGAGACAGAAUCUGACAGGAGCACCGGACUCACAAGUGCAUGAAUUUUGCUUUUUGCUUGGAUUCAAACUCGGAAGUUGUAAGGAAUUUGGGAAGGAGAAGGGACAUUUCAGAAGGAGAAGAAGAAAAAGAAGUUGUUGUUUUUACAGCCCUGGCAAAAUCUUUGGUUCUAGCUAAUAAAGGAAGCUAGUUGAAAUAAAAAAAAAGAAAAAAAUGGG